CCCUUAGAUGUCCUGGGCCGCACGCGCGUUACACUGAUGCAUUCAACGAGCUUAUAACCUUGGCCGAGAGGCCUGGGCAAUCUUGUUAACGUGCAUCGUGAUAGGGAUAGAUUAUUGAAAUUAUUAAUCUUGAACGAGGAAUUCCUAGUAAACGCAGAUCAUCAAUCUGCAUUGAUUACGCCCCUGCCCUUUGUACACACCGCCCGUCGCUCCUACCGAUUGGGUGUGCUGGUGAAAUGUUCGGAUCGGCCGUUUGUCGCGGUUUCCGCGUCAUGUGGCUGAGAAGUUCAUUAAACCCUCCCACCUAGAGGAAGGAGAAGUCGUAACA
rnacentral:rRNA from 1 species